rnacentral:rRNA from 1 species
CGGGGUGAGUAAUGCUCGGGAAUCUAGCUUAUGGAGGGGGAUAACUACGGGAAACUGUAGCUAAUACCGCGUAGUAUCGGAAGAUGAAAGUGUGGGACCUUCGGGCCACAUGCCAUAGGAUGAGCCCAAGUGGGAUUAGGUAGUUGGUGAGGUAAAGGCUCACCAAGCCGACGAUCUCUAGCUGGUCUGAGAGGAUGACCAGCCACACUGGGACUGAGACACGGCCCAG